rnacentral:rRNA from 1 species
CCAUCACUAGUUGCCAUCAGGUAACGCUGGGAACUCUAGUGAAACUGCCGUCGUAAGACGUGAGGAAGGAGGGGAUGAUGUCAAGUCAUCAUGGCCUUUAUGCCCAGGGCUACACACGUGCUACAAUGGGGCGUACAAAGAGCAGCAACACAGUGAUGUGAAGCCAAUCUCAAAAAACGUCUCUCAGUUCAGAUUGAAGUCUGCAACUCGACUUCAUGAAGCUGGAAUCGCUAGUAAUCGUAUAUCAGCAAUGAUACGGUGAAUACGUUCCCGGACCUU